AUUACGGGGUGCAGCAGGCGCGAAAACUCCGCAAUGCGCGAAAGCGUGACGGGGCUACCCCGAGUGCCGUCCGCUGAGGAUGGCUUUUCCCCGGUGUAGUGAGCCGGGGGAAUAAGGAGAGGGCAAGCCUGGUGUCAGCCGCCGCGGUAAAACCAGCUCUCCGAGUGGUAGGGACGAUUAUUGGGCUUAAAGCGUCCGUAGCCGGCCUGGCAAGUCUCCCGUUAAAUCCAGCGACCUAAUCGUUGGACCGCGGGAGAUACUGUUGGGCUAGGAGGCGGGAGAGGCCGACGGUAUUCCCGGGGUAGGGGUGAAAUCCUAUAAUCCUGGGAGGACCACCAGUGGCGAAGGCUGUCGGCUAGAACGCGCUUGACGGUGAGGGACGAAAGCUGGGGGAGCGAACCGGAUUAGAUACCCGGGUAGUCCCAGCUGUAAACGAUGCGGGCUAGGUGUUGGGGUGGCUACGAGCCACUUCAGUGCCGCAGGGAAGCCAUUAAGCCCGCCGCCUGGGGAGUACGGCCGCAAGGCUGAAACUUAAAGGAAUUGGCGGGGGAGCACAAU
rnacentral:rRNA from 1 species